GACGAACGCUGGCGGCGUGCCUAAUACAUGCAAGUAGAACGCUGAAGGAGGAGCUUGCUUCUCUGGAUGAGUUGCGAACGGGUGAGUAACGCGUAGGUAACCUGCCUGGUAGCGGGGGAUAACUAUUGGAAACGAUAGCUAAUACCGCAUAAGAGUAGAUGUUGCAUGACAUUUGCUUAAAAGGUGCAAUUGCAUCACUACCAGAUGGACCUGCGUUGUAUUAGCUAGUUGGUGGGGUAACGGCUCACCAAGGCGACGAUACAUAGCCGACCUGAGAGGGUGAUCGGCCACACUGGGACUGAGACACGGCCCAGACUCCUACGGGAGGCAGCAGUAGGGAAUCUUCGGCAAUGGACGGAAGUCUGACCGAGCAACGCCGCGUGAGUGAAGAAGGUUUUCGGAUCGUAAAGCUCUGUUGUAAGAGAAGAACGAGUGUGAGAGUGGAAAGUUCACACUGCGACGGUAUCUUACCAGAAAGGGACGGCUAACUACGUGCCAGCAGCCGCGGUAAUACGUAGGUCCCGAGCGUUGUCCGGAUUUAUUGGGCGUAAAGCGAGCGCAGGCGGUUAGAUAAGUCUGAAGUUAAAGGCUGUGGCUUAACCAUAGUACGCUUUGGAAACUGUUUAACUUGAGUGCAAGAGGGGAGAGUGGAAUUCCAUAUGUAGCGGUGAAAUGCGUAGAUAUAUGGAGGAACACCGGUGGCGAAAGCGGCUCUCUGGCUUGUAACUGACGCUGAGGCUCGAAAGCGUGGGGAGCAAACAGG
rnacentral:rRNA from 1 species